rnacentral:rRNA from 1 species
AUUGAACGCUGGCGGCAUGCUUUACACAUGCAAGUCGAACGGUAACAGGCCGCAAGGUGCUGACGAGUGGCGAACGGGUGAGUAAUGCAUCGGAACGUGCCCAGUCGUGGGGGAUAACUGCUCGAAAGAGCAGCUAAUUCCGCAUACGAUCUAUGGAUGAAAGCGGGGGACCGUAAGGCCUCGCGCGAUUGGAGCGGCCGAUGUCAGAUUAGGUAGUUGGUGGGGUAAAGGCUCACCAAGCCAACGAUCUGUAGCUGGUCUGAGAGGACGACCAGCCACACUGGGACUGAGACACGGCCCAGACUCCUACGGGAGGCAGCAGUGGGGAACUUUGGACAAUGGGGGCAACCCUGAUCCAGCAAUGCCGCGUGCAGGAAGAAGGCCUUCGGGUUGUAAACUGCUUUUGUACGGAACGAAACGGUCUGGGUUAAUACCCUGGGCUAAUGACGGUACCGUAAGAAUAAGCACCGGCUAACUACGUGCCAGCCGCCGCGGUAAUAC